UUGGUUCCACCACAUCCUGACUACUACCAGACACGGGGUCUUGCCAUGUUGCCCAGGCUGGUCUUGAACUCCUAGGCUCAAGUGAUGAUCCUGCCUUGGCCUCCUAGGGUACUGGGAUUACAGGGUUUUGCGGCCUCCAGGUGGUGGAUCCAAUUUUUCAUUAGGUUUUGAUGAACCAACAGAACAACCUGUGAGGAAGAACAAAAUGGCGUCUAAUAUCUUUGGGACACCUGAAGAAAAUCAAGCUUCUUGGGCCAAGUCGGCAGGUGCCAAGUCUAGUGGUGGCAGGGAAGACUUGGAGUCAUCUGGACUGCAGAGAAGGAACUCCUCUGAAGCAAGCUCUGGAGACUUCUUAGAUCUGAAGGUCAGUGUGACAGCAUGA
rnacentral:sRNA from 1 species